rnacentral:lncRNA from 1 species
UUUGUCAACUGACUUUGGGUAUGUUCAGCCAAUGAAAGUUACCAGCAGAAGACUGGCAGAUGGGAGGAGGGAAGAAGCCAGGAUUUAUUUCCCUCUGAAGCUCAGCCAGGGGCUCCCUUCAGGUGGCCCCCUCUGUGGUUCUGGCUCCUGCAGGGUGAUCCUAGCCUCUUGGCAUCAGAGCACCAUUCACUUCCUUUAUCUCUCCAGUCUUAAGAGUAGUAGUGACUUCCGGCUGUUGCUCAUCUUUGGAUUGCCUCAUCAUCCCCCAUUUGGUCAUUCAAUUCUUUCCCUGUAUCAAAUUUCCCUUGUCUGAAAUACCUAGGGUAAUUUCUGUUUUGCUGACUGGUUGUUAACUGACGUAUACUCUAUAGUCCACUCUCUACACAGGGGCUGAAGUGGAUCCCGCUAAAAACAAAGCAGAUGGGGGCAUGACCCAGCUCUCAUCCCUCCAAGAGCUUCCCAUCAUCAGAAUAGAUGAGAAUAGAAUCUCAGCUCCUCUGGAACUAAAAAAAAAAAAGGCAGAUAAAAGGGAGCUAGGCCCUUUUAUCUACCUUUUCCAUCCCUUUCUGAGCUCACCCUCCUCCUUGCCCACAGUAUUUCUAGCCACAGCAGUCUGCUUGCUGUUCCUUCCGCCCAUCAAGCCAGUUUCUUUGCAUUUGCUGUUUCCAUUGCAAGAACACCCUUGCUGCAGAUCUGUCCAUGGCUUGCUCCCUCACAUGAUUCAGGUCUCUGCUCUAGAGGGACCUUCAGCGACCAUCUUUUUUUUUUUUUGAGACGGAGUCUUGCUCUGUCUCCCAGGCUGGAGUGCAGUGGCACAUCUCGGCUCACUGCAAGCCCCACCUCCCAAGUUCACACCAUUCUCCUGCCUCAGCCUCCCGCAUAGGUGGGACUACAGGCACCUGCCACCACCCUGGCUAAUUUUUUGUAUUUUUUUUUAGUAGAGAUGGGGUUUCACCGUGUUAGCCAGGAUGGUCUUGAUCUCCUGAUCUCAUGAUCCACCCGCCUCAGCCUCCCAAAGUGCUGGGAUUACAGGCAUGAGCCACCAUGCCCGGCCUUCUUUUUUUUUUUUUUUUUGGGACGGGGUCUCGCUCUGUCGCCCAGGCUGGAGUGCAGUGGCACGAUCUCAGCUCACUGCAAGCUCCACCUCCCGGGUUCAUGCCAUUCUCCUGCCUCAGCGUCCCGAGUAGUUGGCACUACAGGUGCCCGCCACCACGCUCGGCUAAUUUUUUUUUUUUUUUUUGUAUUUUUAGUAGAGACGGGGUUUCAUCGUGUUAGCCAGGAUGGUCUCGAUCUCCUGACAUCGUGAUCCGCCCGCCUCGGCCUCCCAAAGUGCUGGGAUUACAGGCAUGAGCCAUCGCGCCCAGCUUGCGACCAUCUUUUCUAAAAUUGUUCCACCUUCCCAUCACUCAAAUCCUUUUAUCCUGCUUUAUUUUUCUUCCCGGCACUUUCCCUACCUGCUGUGGUAUUUCAUAUUUAUGCAUACAUUUGCUUAGAGCCUGCUUUACUAGAAUGUAAGCUCCAUGACAGCAGGGACCUCAUCUGAGCCUCACUUGUGCCUGUGGCCCUAGCACCCCUCACAGACACACGGUCAGCAUUGCUGCAGAUCUAGAUGGUGAAGACAGGACAUGGACCUCCUGGUUUAACUGAUUUUGUGCUGGAAUUCAAAGGGCUCCAGCGCAGUUCUCCAUUAUUCAGAUGAGAAAAGUAGAGUGGAGAAAUGGGUCCCAGGUCACACAGCUGAGUUUUGCUUCCUAGAGCUCUGUCCACACAGCUGUCCCUUCCUGUCCUUGGCUACAACUUGAAUUUGGGCAUUUGCCUCUAGGAGGUGAAGAUGGAUUUUUGAAGUUUUGGUCCUUACCCAGGCAGCCCUGUAGGCCUGGGGCAGCCCCUGAGUUACCAGAGCCUGGAGAGAGCUCGGUGGGGCCAAGUGGGAACAGCAAAUGAGAAAAGUGGACUGGGGAACGCGAUAGGGAGGGGUGGGGACUGUGGUGGGUUGCAGAGUUCAUGCUCCCUUCGACAUCAUUAAUAUAAAUAAAAAAUUAAAACACUUCCUU